rfam:Dethiosulfovibrio peptidovorans DSM 11002 ctg1, whole genome shotgun sequence.
GGAAGCGAAUGUGUCCUGGUGGGCGCCCCGGGCUUCAAACCCGCGCGGGAGGCGGUAUAGGCCGUCUCCGGUGAGUUCGAUUCUCACACGCUUCC